GAUGAACGCUGGCGGCGUGCCUAAUACAUGCAAGUCGAGCGAACAGACGAGGAGCUUGCUCCUCUGACGUUAGCGGCGGACGGGCGAGUAACACGUGGAUAACCUACCUAUAAGACUGGGAUAACUUCGGGAAACCGGAGCUAAUACCGGAUAAUAUAUUGAACCGCAUGGUUCAAUAGUGAAAGACGGUUUUGCUGUCACUUAUAGAUGGAUCCGCGCCGCAUUAGCUAGUUGGUAAGGUAACGGCUUACCAAGGCAACGAUGCGUAGCCGACCUGAGAGGGUGAUCGGCCACACCGGAACUGAGACACGGUCCAGACUCCUACGGGAGGCAGCAGUAGGGAAUCUUCCGCAAUGGGCGAAAGCUUGACGGAGCAACGCCGCGUGAGUGAUGAAGGUCUUCGGAUCGUAAAACUCUGUUAUUAGGGAAGAACAAAUGUGUAAGUAACUAUGCACGUCUUGACGGUACCUAAUCAGAAAGCCACGGCUAACUACGUG
rnacentral:rRNA from 1 species